rnacentral:ncRNA from 1 species
UCAUAAAAUUAAUAUUGUUUCUGUAUAUGAUCGGUAAUAUGGACUGAUCGUUUCUACCUAGUAACCGUAAAUGACUAGACUACAGAAAAGUUUGGAUAAAUG